GAUGAGUCCGAGACAUCCCAGAGUUAGGAGUUAGAGCAAAAGCUUCCGAAAUAUGGGAGUAUUAAAUAUUUCAGGCCAACUGGUAAAAUAGUUGUCUGUACACUCUGUCAAACUUCAAUUGGAAACCCAAAGGAGUUGUUCAAGACGUUUGGAGCAGGUUUUUUCUCUCCUCCAUGUCUCCUCCGGGGCUCCAAAGAUGCGCUCACAGAAAAGAAGACAACAAAGCAGUCGCCGUCUUCACAACUCUGAGACAAACUGUAGCAGGCGCUACGAACCGGAGCAAGGACUAACCUCGCCUCAUAAUGAGGCCGUGACCUAUAUUUG